rnacentral:rRNA from 1 species
UACAGAGGUGGCAAGCGUUGUUCGGAAUUACUGGGCGUAAAGCGCGUGUAGGCGGCUUCGCAAGUCGGGUGUGAAAUCCCACGGCUCAACCGUGGAAGUGCAUUCGAAACUGCAAGGCUAGAGUCCUGGAGAGGAAGGUGGAAUGCUUGGUGUAGAGGUGAAAUUCGUAGAUAUCAAGCGGAACACCGGUGGCGAAGGCGACCUUCUGGACAGUGACUGACGCUGAGACGCGAAAGCGUGGGGAGCAAACAGG